rnacentral:rRNA from 1 species
AUUGAACGCUGGCGGCAGGCAUAACACAUGCAAGUCGAACGGCAGCACAGUAAUAGCUUGCUCUUACGGCUGCCGAGUGGCGAACGAUUGAUGGAUACAUCGGAGGCUGCUUUUGCUUGCGUGAUGACAUAGGGACUCUUACGCUAAUACUGCAUACGACCUACGUGGGAGAGCUUCGGAUCUUCCGCCCUCGCACGAUUCAAUGACGCGGUGUCGGAUUAGCGAGUUGGCGGGCUAAAGGCCCACCAAGGCGACGAUCCGUAGCUGGUCUGAGAGGGUGAUGAGGCACACUGGAACUGAGAGACGGUCCAGACGCCUACGGUAGGCAGCAGUGGGGAAUAUGGGACAAUGGGCGAAAGCCUGAUCCAGCCAUGCCGCGUGGGUGAAGAAGGUCUUCGGAUUGUAAAGCACUUUAAGUUGGGAGGAAGGGCAGUAAGUUAAUACCUUGCUGUUCUGACGUUACCAACAGAAUAAGCAACGGCUAACUUCGUG